rnacentral:rRNA from 1 species
UACGUAGGGGGCAAGCGUUGUCCGGAUUUAUUGGGCGUAAAGAGCGUGUAGGCGGCCAGGUAGGUCCGUUGUGAAAACUCGAGGCUCAACCUCGAGACGCCGAUGGAAACCCCCUGGCUAGAGUCCGGAAGAGGAGAGUGGAAUUCCUGGUGUAGCGGUGAAAUGCGCAGAUAUCAGGAAGAACACCCGUGGCUAAGGCGGCUCUCUAGUACGGUACUGACGCUGAGACGCGAAAGCGUGGGGAGCGAACAGG